rnacentral:rRNA from 1 species
UGGGGAAUCUUCCGCAAUGGACGAAAGUCUGACGGAGCAACGCCGCGUGAGUGAAGAAGGUUUUCGGAUCGUAAAACUCUGUCUUUUGGGGCGAACGUGAGUAUGGUGAACAAUCAUAGUCAGUGACGGUACCAAAGGAGGAAGCCACGGCUAACUACGUGCCAGCAGCCGCGGUAAUACGUAGGUGGCAAGCGUUGUCCGGAAUUAUUGGGCGUAAAGAGCGCGUAGGCGGGAUAGUCAGUCUGUUGUAAAAGUGCGGGGCUCAACCCCGUGAUCGCAAUGGAAACAGCUAUUCUUGAGUGCAGGAGAGGAAAGUGGAAUUCCCAGUGUAGCGGUGAAAUGCGUAGAUAUUGGGAGGAACACCAGUGGCGAAGGCGACUUUCUGGACUGUGUCUGACGCUGAGGCGCGAAAGCCAGGGGAGCGAACGGGAUUAGAUACCCCGGUAGUCCUGGCCGUAAACGAUGGGUACUAGGUGUGGGAGGUAUCGACCCCUUCCGUGCCGGAGUUAACGCAAUAAGUACCCCCGCCUGGGGAGUACGGUCGCAAGACUGAAACUCAAAUGAAUUGAC